rnacentral:lncRNA from 1 species
CGGUGGGGGCAAGGCAAGAUGAGCCGUGCUGCAGAUGCGCGUGUCCUCUCAUUUACCCACCUACUUGGUGCAUUUGCGGCGGCAUAUGGCAAGGCUCCUGCCCUUCCGCCUGCAACAACUGCCAGUGUGUCCUCAACGAGUGCACUUGCCUCGAUCUUAUGGACCCCAAGGUCUGCGAGGCCAACUCCUGUCCCUGGCCUGUUGCAGCCCCCAAAGUAGAGCCGGCGCAGCAGUGGGCUAUCGAAGAAACCGGUGGGAAAUUAGCGAUGAUGGUGUGAUCCAAUUGUGUUUGUGAUCGCCUGUCGUCUUCUCUCGCUCCGUCCUAUCCAUCUAUCCAUCCAUCUACUUAUAAUCUAUGUCGUGUACCGUCGUGUGGUGUUGCUUUGCUUCAGUAAUAAAAAUAAAAUGCUUCUGCUUUUAUCGCGACGGAUGCAUCGUUGCACUGCUAAUUGUGUACCUAAUUUUGGCAUGAGAGUUUGGAAAAGUUCAUCUCGGAAAAUUGCUCGACAGGUGACUUCCGGGAGAAAGGAGAAAAUAUAGGAGACAAUAGUAGUGUAACAAAUCUUUUUUAGUUCAUCACUAAACUAAUAUAAUAUAUAGGAGAUAUAAUAUAGAUGGCAUAAGUGUUAAUAGAAAUUGAUUUGUGAUAUAAGCUAAUAGAUAAUUUAAACAUCCAUUAAAAGUCCGAUUCCAUGCAAUCUAAUAAUUCAUUGUACUUGUAAUGAGUCAAUUACGGGGUAAUAGAUGGUUGUAAUUGACUGAAGUCACUGAACAUUAAAGGGGUAAAAGCCAUCCACGUACUUUCUUUUCAUUGUCUACUAACAUGAUCUGUCGGAAAUUUUCAAUCAGAUGUUCUUUCAACAAAACAUAUCUCCGGAGGAACACUCCACACUAUGAAGAGAUGAUAUAUCGACCGCUAAUCUCCAUGCCUUCUCUUGCCUUUCUUUACUCCAAACCUCCAUAUUGCUUUAAUUAUGUUGUUUGUUCUGCCCAUUACUGUGAAGCAAAAUAAAUAAAUAAAUAUAUAUAUAUGUGUUAUUUAAAAAAUUAUUAAUAUAUAGGGAUCGAUCAACAACUAAAAUGUUGAUCGCAAUGAAGUCCAAAUCACAUCAAAGUUGCCUUCUGAUUGAAAUGUUGCAACAAUUAUGUGGAUCAAUAUUCCACAAGCAUCGUACAUGAAAACGACGUGUGUGGUAGCAUUAUUGAUGUGAGUAGGUGUCAUUGCUGAUUGGACAUCGUAGAAAACGUGCUCCAUAUCAUCCUUCUUCUUUGGAAGAUAAGGAUGAAUGGAUGGCAAAUAUAGAACGCAAGAAACGCUUCUCUUAGUAGGAAUGGCACAUUGAAUUAAAUUAGAGUGUACAGUGGAUAAAAUUUUACUCGGAUUAUCACUUAUGUUGGAUAGAUAAAUUUACACUUGAUUUGCGAUAUAAGAGUUUCCUACUGGAAGCUCACUCAGCAAGUACGUCUGCCUUUGAAUAAAUGGCAUGAUAUGUUUUAGAUAUGUCAAUAUCGAAACUCUCGUCGGUGGGUAUAUAGUAACUUUAUGAUUCUCUUUGUACUCACCGGAGUUUAUCUCUAAGAUAAUAUCAUGAUACUAAUAUAAUAAAAAUUAGAGGGACAUAUAUAAAGGUAGAAGCCCAACUUAACUUUUCUUUUAUCCUUCUUAUUAUGUCCAAAAGACUCUUCCUACAAAGGAUCAUUAUCUAACUAGAGUAUCAAAAGAGAGUCGCAGGGAUCCUUUGGUGAUCCUCUUUUGUUUUGUAAUUCCCUCUUCAGAUAAUUAGAUCUUUUGGAUCUUGUUUUGCUCCACAAUGUUCUAUCGUCCAAAUAUAAUAAAAAUUAGAGGGACAUGGAUAAGAGUAGAUAACUUGGUAGGGUUGGGUUGGUUGAAUUUGCUGGGGUGAGAUAGAUAAAGUGAGUUCUUCAGUAGCAACAUUGUUAUUUAUAGGAGUUGAAUCAUCAUAGGCUUGUAAGUCAAAAGUGGUAAAUUUGUAAUGAUAAUAAUAAGACUUACGAUUUGGUUGCACAGUUGAUCAAGGAAAUGUGUUCAUGGAAAAUAACAUUCGACUUGUGAAUAUUUAUUUAGUCUCUAAAUUAUAGACUUUAUAAGCCUUUUGAUUGAAGGGAUAUCCAAUAAAAAUGUAUUUUUGAGUACGUAUAUUUUUGGGUUGAAUGUUUAUAGAAAUACAUAAACAAUCAAAUACACGUAGAAGGUCAUAAAUAAAUAUAUUAUCGAUUAUAAAUAACUUUAAAUGGUAUCUUUCUUGAACGGAGGGAUAUGGUUAGAAGACUAAUAAGUUUAGUUGUUGUUAGCACACUGUAAAAAAACUUCGUACAGGAUUGAACUUACUUUCAUUAUCUACUAGAAUUCAUCUUACCUUUCGACGAAAUUGAUUUUCAACAAAAAUAUAAAAAGAUUUUAAAAGUGUUUGUGUUUCAUAUUUAAAGUGGAUGAGAUAUAUCCAUGUAUUCCUAGAACAAUCAUCUACAAUAGCUAGAAAAUAAUGAUGGGAGACCAAGAUGUCUAUGCCAUAGAUCAUGUUGUGAAGAUAUAUUAUUGACUUUUGUGAUGGGUAGUAUUGUUAGAGGUGAUGUAUAUGUAGAAAAGAAGUAGAGACCAAUUAUCUUCUUCAUUGCCAAAUCUUGUAAGAGGCAAAAAUCAGAAGGAAAAAAAAGUGAUUGAGCAAUUCAAAAAUUUAGUUAUCAUGCUGAUUGAUAAUAGAUUAACAUAAAAUGAAGACACGCAAACAAUAUCUAAAAGAAUAAUUUCAUGAUUAAGUUUGGUGGAACCAAUAGAAGUUAUUUGUGUUUUUCUUCCAUCAGGUAGUCCAAUAACAGAAUGUGAAAAGAUAUUUGUUUUACGUAAUAGACGAGGAAAUAACGCAAUAUGAUCAUCUGUAGCACCACUACGAGAUAAGAAAUAAAAAAAAAAAUAGAAUAACCUGUAACAUUUGCCUAUGGCAAAGUGUUACCAUUGCUUAAGAAGGCCAAAAGUUGAUAUUAUUCAUGCGCAAAAAUUGGAGUAUAUGACCAGUUAUUGACAGAUGCCUUUAUUCUAUUUCCUGAUUUCUCAUUUUUCUUGUAAACUUUAUAUUCAAGAGGGAAGCCAUGUAAAUGAUAGCAUUUGUCAGCGGUCCGAUUGUUCCCAUUACAAUGGCCACAAUAAAACUUUCCUUUCGUAUUAUUUGAUGAGUUGAUAACAGGAUUGCUUUUUCGAGCACUUGCCAUCAUGACCUCUUUAAAAACAAUCAAUUCUAAUUGUUUUUCUUCUGAAUUAUUGAGAAUUUUGUAAGCAUAAAAUCUGUGAUAUUAUAUAUAUAUAUAUAUAUAUAUAUAUAUAUAUAUAUAUAUAUAUAUAAUACGAAAAAAAUUUUAUGUCAUGAUUGAAAUCAAAUAACAUUAGAUUAUAUUUACGAUAUAUAUCUUUUGAUGUCAUCUGAAAAAGAUAUUUGUGUGAUCUGCAAAGAUAUUGUCCUCCGACUUCGACUAUCACAAUGACGUCAAUCUACAAGAAAUCAUAAUCUCUUAAUUGCAUUCUCUAUGACAUAUAUCAUAGAGUCCCUAGAGGUAUAUCUUUUUAUAAGCGAGAGUAAACGGUUUAAGAUAGGUUAUUAUGAGAUUUCCUCUUAUCAUCAUGGACGUCCCUUAAAUAAUUUUACUAUAAUAUAGAUUUUUUUUUAUUGAUCAAUAUCUAUCAUCAAAAUCAAAUUAAUUAUAUUAUAUAUUUUAUCCAAUUAUGAACGAUCACAUAAUCUAACAAAUUUAACCAUAAAUAGUAGAAUAUGACUCAUUUAAACCCAUGAGAAAUUGCAUUACCUUACUCCUUUGCUCAUGUUCAUCAACUUUCUUGAUUGCACCACAUGUUAUGUGGAAAGUUCAUCCCAUAACCCCUUUAAUUUGGUAAAAUAUACAGCGAGCGAUAGACGUUGACCCAUGUAGUAGUGAAUUUAGAAUAUUCUAGGAGUAUUAUUUUGUGAAAAUCUUUCUUUCAGAUCAGUUAAAACAUCAAUAGCAGAAUCGACAUAUAUGUCACUAUUAGCAAGAUUAGAAUCCACAGAGUUGAAGAUCCAUGAUAAUACUAUAUUAUUGCAUUCUUUUCACAUGGAAAAAUUUGUGUCGGUUGUUGACGAUGUCUUGAUCGAUCCAACAACGAAACCAAUCUUGUUUUUAGCUCUAAGAACUAUGCUCAUUGAACGACUCCAAGUGCUACAGUUAUCACCAUUCGAUGGCUUACUAAACAAGACAAUCCCUGGAUGAUCCGAGUGGUGAAGAAGAAAGGCGACCAAAAGAUUCACAAAAGAUGAAUAUAUCAUGCUAUAAAAUAUCUUCCCAAGAUGCACACCUUUCGUGUCUGCUACGAUCAUUGCGACUUCCACCUCCACAAGUGUUAAUGCAACACUCGUGGCUUCAUCACAUACCGCGCCUCAAUAGGAUUGACUUCAAAUAGGUAGACAAGUAGGCUCUUUGGAGAUCGUCUUUGUGGCAUAGCGAUAAUACAAAAGUAGUAGUGGAAGCUAAACUAUUUUGGUGGUUUUGAUACCAUAUAUAAAAAAAAUACUUGGGAGAAAUAUAAAAUUUCAUUGAACCCACUUUACGUUCCCAGAGUUUAUCUCCUCGAAGAUAAUGCCAUGAUAUCAAUAUAAUAGAAAUUAGAGGGACAUAGAUAAUGUUAGAAGCCUAACUUUGUUUUUUUUUAUCCUUAUUAUGUACAAUCGGACAUUAUCUGACGUGGGUAUUAGAAGAGAGUCGCAUGGAUCCCUUGGUGACGCUCUUUUAUUUUACAAUUUCCUCUUCGGAUGAGUAGAUCGAUUGUAUUGGAGACCCUUCAAUCUUGUUACGCUUAGUAAUAUUUUAUCGUCUUAUAAUAAUUGUUGUGGUUCUUUAUAUUGUGGCCCAAGAUCCAACAUAGUUUGAUUCGGUCCUGAUCGUGCGAGGGCAUCCACAUAGUCGCUUUGAAGGAUGACUGAAGAGGGAACGGAGAACCGAGGCUAGUAUCUCCUGGUCGACUCGAAAUGGAGCUGAGGUUAUCUCUGAUGUCGAAUUCCUACACAAUAGGUCGAUGUCAGGAAGGGAGAUUCCCGACUCGACCCCUCCAAAGCUUAGGUCAGUUUUUUAAUAAUAGUGAUUCAUAUCCCUAACGUAUACUUAGGGGUGACAUUUUAUACCUCUCGUUGAAGGUUAAUCGUAUGCAGGCUGUUAAUGACCAUCGACAUUCCAUGUGGUCUGUUCGUCCACUCCAAAUGGCAUGGGCUGACUGCUUUGGUUUCACCGCAGCGUGAGGCUGUCUUGCUUGAUUUUGAGUACUACUUCGUAUGGUCCCAUUUCGAGAUGCAAUCAGUAGUGCAACUUUUAGAUGCAUGCAUUAUGUCGAUGAGAUGGUGUCAUGUUGAUUCUACGAUGGCUAUCGAUUAUCAUUGUGGGCAGACACCAAAAUAUCCCAUAUCAAUAAUGAUAUAAGUUAUUGCUAUACAGACAAAUGAAUCUAGUCAGCCCUUUCCAUUUCUUCCUCAAUCUAGACAAAUUGUCAUUAUAUAUUAGAUAAAACCACUCACUUGCUGUAUAAGCCCGAAUUUUUUAAAAGCAGAAGUUGCUUAGUACAGAAUAAUUUAAAGCAACAAAAAAAAUCAUGGCUUGAUAUUUGAUAUUGUAGCUAUUUUUAAAGAAGGAACUCAUUAAUCUAUUCUGUUAGAUUAUGUGGUACAAUAACUUAUGAUAAAAUAAAUUAAAAUUUUAAUUAAAUUCGCCGCACAUUGUUCACGUUGCCAUCCCAACGAUUGCAACUAUGGGAUUCAAUAAUUCACUUGGGACGUAUGGAUAAUCCUCGACCACGUAAAAAUAAUUAAAAAUAUUUCCAUCUGCAUCACGCGGAUGCAUUCGUAUUAUAUUGUGGGGGACAAUAAUCAAUGCACCAAAUCUGGUACUGCAACUUUUUAUCUUGUUAUCGUCGUUCCAGGUUAAGUGUAAAAUUGAGAGUGAGAGAGUAGACACACUUGAGUUCUUGAAUUCCGAAUCCAUUAUUUCUUCUUGUCAACAAAUAUGUCCCACCAUACCCAUCAUAUAUUAAAGGCUCGAGCAUCGUGGCACUAUAAAUAGGACAAGAGGAGGGCGGAGGGAAAACGCACUACAUCAUACUUGCACGGGUGCAUUGUGAUAGAAAGCUCAGCGGUAAGCAAUGGCUGGAGGAGGCAAAAAGAGGUGAAGGGUCGUCUUCUUCUAAUUGUUGAUAAGGUAUGUUUGGGUUACGCGUCACAACCAACGCCACACUACGUUAUAGUUGGGUUAGCAAGGGGAGCACCCCCACACACUAAGUCAGAAUUCGUAUCGAUGCCGGAUCAGCAAGGGGAGCAUCCCCACAUACUAAGUCAGAAUCAGUACCAAGACACUGUUCGAUAUGUCUCGUCCCAUAAGUUUGGGGCGACGCCGUCUGAUGUCGUCCCGCAUGUCCCGGGACAACGGUCGCACAGUACCGUCUCAUCCCCCGAGGAUCAAUCGACACACUAAACCCGCAUGCGACCGACUCUCGUAUAAUAAUAUAAAAAUCCUUAGCCAACAUCCAUCCAAGGAGGAGGGAAGGACACAAAGGAGAAGAGAAAAACAACUACUAACUUGCUCGUCGGAUGGGCCAAAGUCAGGAAUCCCCGACGAAGGUCACUUUUAUAGGCAAGUGGCCGCCCCCGAGCAACAAGCGUCUCGACAUGGGAAUCGUCAUCCAGUGAACGAAGGCGAGCUGCCAACCAGCCUGGGAACGAAGAGACGCUGCUCAACGCAGAUGACGCCCGGACCAAGAAACGUUGAUUAACACCCCGUCGCGAGGGCCCGGCCUACCUUAGCGUCCAACUCAGUCAGCAGAAGACUACCGACAUCGACUCGUGGACCGAGCCGUGCUGACUCACCAGUCACGGCACAUUUGUUCACCAACACUUGUGACGCUGCUCGUGACGUAGUUGGCCUUCUUCGCCACCGACUCCUCGGCAGCCCGUGUCACACCCCGUCCGCAAUCCCUCGCCAGAGGUAGGUAGAUAAAUAUGCAUGCGAACAUGUAUAUGAUUGGGCUGGAGAUCGAAGCAUCGUUAAUUCCGUCUUCAUGCUGCAGCGGCACUGAGUGCGUUGGGAGCAAGGGCAGAUGGGCCGUGCUGCAGAUGCAUCUGUCCUCUCAUUUACCCACCUACUCGGUGCAUUUGCGGCGGCGUAUGGCAAGGCUCCUGCCCUUCCGCCUGCACCAACUGCCAGUGUGUUCUCAACGAGUGCACUUGCCUCGAUCACGUGGACUACAAGGCCUGCGAGGCCGAUUCCUGUGCCUGGCUUGAUGCAGCCCGCAAAGUAGAGCCGUCGCAGCAGUGGGCGAUCGAAGAAACCGGUGGGAAAUUAGCGACGAUGGUGUGAUCCAAAUGUGUUUGUG